rnacentral:misc_RNA from 1 species
UAAAAUCAAUCCCCAUGGGUUUCUUGACCCGUUGGUGGACUUGGAGUUGGGCGUUCUGCCGGUCACACGGCUCGCCUUAAAGACCUUAGUGGGAUCAUCGGCCUCUGGCUUGACGUAAUAAGUUUCGUCUCGCCUGGCUGUCUGGAGCCCGCUCACAACCUGCCCUUGGGCAACUACUUUAU